rnacentral:rRNA from 1 species
GACAGAGGGUGCUAGCGUUGUUCGGAAUUACUGGGCGUAAAGGGCGCGUAGGCGGCUUGUUUAGUCGGGUGUGAAAUCCCGGGGCUCAACCCCGGAACUGCAUUCGAUACUGGCAGGCUAGAGACCGGAAGAGGUGGGUGGAAUACCCAGUGUAGAGGUGAAAUUCGUAGAUAUUCGGAGGAACACCAGUGGCGAAGGCGGACUCACUGGUCCGGUACUGACGCUGAGGUGCGAAAGCGUGGGGAG